rnacentral:rRNA from 1 species
AUUGAACGCUGGCGGCAUGCUUUACACAUGCAAGUCGGACGAGUGGCGAACGGGUGAGUAAUAUAUUGGAACGUACCGAGUAAUGGGGGAUAACCAAUCGAAAGAUUGGCUAAUACCGCAUACUAUUAGAGCGGCCAAGAUCUGAUUAGCUAGGUGGUGGGGUAACGGCCUACCAAGGCGACGAUCAGUAGGGGGUCUGAGAGGAGGAUCCGCCACACUGGGACUGAGACACGGCCCAGAUUCCUACGGGAGGCAGCAGUGGGGAAUUUUGGACAAUGGGCGCAAGCCUGAUCCAGCCAUGCCGCUUGUGUGAAGAAGGUCUUCGGGUUGUAAAGGACUUUUGUUAGGGAAGCGGUACCGAAAUAAUCAGCACCGGCUAACUACGUGCCAGCCGCCGCGGUAAUUC